UGCUAGGGAUCCUGGUGGUGUUGGACCAGGUGGUAUUGUCCCUGGUGGUGUUGGACCAGGUGGUAUUGUCCCUGGUGGUGUUGGACCAGGUGGCUUCAGGCCAGGUGGCAUUGUCCCUGGUGGUGUUGGACCAGGUGUCUUGAGUCCUGGAGCAGGCAGAAAACCUGGGAAACCAGGUUAUGGUGGGCCUGGGGGUUUUGGUGGUGGACCGUUUGGAACAGGAAGUCUUGGAGCAGGUGCUAUUCCACUUACACCUGGAGGUGCUGGAACAGGCUAUCCAUCAGGUGGUAGCUAUAGUGGAUAUGGUACUUAUCCUGGAGCUGGAACAAUUGGUCAGAAACCACCAAAACCAGGUAAAGCUAGAUAUAUGGACAUGAGUAUUGGCUUAAAUGAAGGUGUGAAACUUGAAUACACUUUUUCAAAAAACAUUUAAAUUGUAUCAACACAUGCUGGAUUUGAUGAAAUAGGAAUUGGACCUGGAGGUGUAGGAAUUGGUCCAGGCGGCACAGGACUUAGACCUGGGGGUGCGGGAGUUCUGCCUGGAGGUGUAGGAAUUGGACCGGGUGGCACAGGAAUUGGACCAGGUGGUGCAGGAAUUGGUCCAGGUGGCACAGGAAUUGGACCAGGUGGAGCUGGAUUUGGACCUGGAGGUGUAGGAAUUGGACCUGGUGGCACUGGAACUGGAAUUGGAGGAGCAGGAGUUGCACCUGGUGGAGGUAGGUUUUGAGGGACAUAAUUGUUAAGCUACUGCUGUUUGCAGUUACUUGCAACUUUUAACCUUUGCAUCUUUUCAAUCCAUUUUGGCUCCUAGCACCUUUUCUCCCUCAAACUGGCUUAGCAGGAACUGGAACUGGGACAGGCGCUGGGGGAAAAGUCGGAAAGUUUGGGAAGGCGCCAGUGCCAGGUAACUGUGUCUAUUAAUGGAGCU
rnacentral:lncRNA from 1 species